rnacentral:misc_RNA from 1 species
GAUGAAGAACGUAGCAAAAUGCGAUAAGUAAUGUGAAUUGCAGAAUUCAGUGAAUCAUCGAAUCUUUGAACGCACAUUGCGCCCGCUGGUAUUCCGGCGGGCAUGCCUGUUCGAGCGUCAUUUCAACCCUCAAGCCCCCGGGUUUGGUGUUGGGGAUCGGCUCUGCCCUUCUGGGCGGUGCCGCCCCCGAAAUACAUUGGCGGUCUCGCUGCAGCCUCCAUUGCGUAGUAGCUAACACCUCGCAACUGGAACGCGGCGCGGCCAUGCCGUAAAACCCCAACUUCUGAAUGUUGACCUCGGAUCAGGUAGGAAUACCCGCUGAAUUUAAGCAUAUCAAUAAGCGGAGGA